GCUGAAGAACGUAGCGAAAUGCGAUAAGUAAUGUGAAUUGCAGAAUUCAGUGAAUCAUCGAAUCUUUGAACGCACAUUGCGCCCCCUGGUAUUCCGGGGGGCAUGUCUGUCCGAGCGUCAUUACAACCCUCAAGCUCAGCUUGGUGUUGGGCCCCGCCGCCCCGGCGGGCCCUAAAGUCAGUGGCGGUGCCGUCCGGCUCCGAGCGUAGUAAUUCUUCUCGCUCUGGAGGUCCGGUCGUGUGCUCGCCAGCAACCCCCAAUUUUUUUCAGGUUGACCUCGGAUCAGGUAGGGAUACCCGCUGAACUUAAGCAUAUCAAUAAGCGGAGGA
rnacentral:misc_RNA from 1 species